GCCGCCUUAGCUCAGCUGGUUAGAGCAGCCGAUUUGUAAUCGGCAGGUCCUCGGUUCGAAUCCGAGAGGCGGCU
rnacentral:tRNA from 1 species